rnacentral:rRNA from 1 species
CAGGCCUAACACAUGCAAGUCGAACGGUGGGUAACCACAGUGGCAAACGGGUGCGUAACGCGUAAGCAACCUGCCUCAAACUGGGGGAUAGCCCGGCGAAAGCUGGGGUAAACCCGCACGGUCCCAAGAGGUCACCUGGUUUUUUGGGUAAACAUUUAUGGGUUUGAGAGGGGCUUGCGUCUGAUUAGUUAGUUGGCAGGGUAACGGCCUACCAAGGCGAUGAUCAGUAGGGGUUCUGAGAGGAUUGGCCCCCACAUGGGUACUGAGAUACGGACCCAACUCCUACGGGAGGCAGCAGUAGGGAAUAUUGGGCAAUGGGCGCAAGCCUGACCCAGCCAUGCCGCGUGGAGGAUGAAGGCGCUCAGCGUUGUAAACUUCUUUUAUCGGUGAAGAACGUACUCUAUGCGUAGGGUAGUGACGGUAGCGCGAGGAAUAAGCACCGGCUAACUCCGUGCCAGCAGCCGCGGUAAU